AAAGUUUGACCUCAAAUCAGGUAGGAUUACCCGCUGAACUUAAGCAUAUCAAUAAGCGGAGGAAAAGAAACCAACAGGGAUUGCCUUAGUAACGGCGAGUGAAGCGGCAAAAGCUCAAAUUUGAAAUCUGGCACUUUCAGUGUCCGAGUUGUAAUUUGAAGAAGGUAACUUUGGAGUUGGCCCUUGUCUAUGUUCCUUGGAACAGGACGUCACAGAGGGUGAGAAUCCCGUGCGAUGAGGUGUCCAAUUCUAUGUAAAGUGCUUUCGAAGAGUCGAGUUGUUUGGGAAUGCAGCUCUAAGUGGG
rnacentral:rRNA from 2 species